GAUGAACGCUGGCGGCGUGCCUAAUACAUGCAAGUCGAGCGAACGGACGAGAAGCUUGCUUCUCUGAUGUUAGCGGCGGACGGGUGAGUAACACGUGGAUAACCUACCUAUAAGACUGGGAUAACUUCGGGAAACCGGAGCUAAUACCGGAUAAUAUUUUGAACCGCAUGGUGCAAAAGUGAAAGACGGUCUUGCUGUCACUUAUAGGUGGAUCCGCGCUGCAUUAGCUAGUUGGUAAGGUAACGGCUUACCAAGGCAACGAUGCAUAGCCGACCUGAGAGGGUGAUCGGCCACACUGGAACUGAGACACGGUCCAGACUCCUACGGGAGGCAGCAGUAGGGAAUCUUCCGCAAUGGGCGAAAGCCUGACGGAGCAACGCCGAGUGAGUGAUGAAGGUCUUCGGAUCGUAAAACUCUGUUAUUAGGGAAGAACAUAUGUGUAAGUAACUGUGCACAUCUUGACGGUACCUAAUCAGAAAGCCACGGCUAACUACGUG
rnacentral:rRNA from 1 species